CAGCAGCCGCGGUAAUACGAAGGGUGCAAGCGUUAAUCGGAAUUACUGGGCGUAAAGCGUGCGUAGGCGGUUUGUUAAGUCUGCUGUGAAAUCCCCGGGCUCAACCUGGGAAUGGCAGUGGAUACUGGCAAGCUAGAGUGUGUCAGAGGACGGUGGAAUUCCCGGUGUAGCGGUGAAAUGCGUAGAGAUCGGGAGGAACAUCAGUGGCGAAGGCGGCCAUCUGGGACAACACUGACGCUGAGGCACGAAAGCGUGGGGAGCAAACAGGAUUAGAUACCCCCGUAGUCCCUGUCUCUUAUAC
rnacentral:rRNA from 1 species